GUAAAAACUAAAAGUGACUUCUUCAGUUUGAACAAUCGGCCGUCGUGCCAAACCUGGCCAUAGAAAAUGGUUUUUAUGUUGGCUGCACCAGCACCGCCAAUCGAGGAAAUUAAUGAAGAAGAUUGGAAGGGUAA